GUGGUAAUGCCGGAUGUUCCACAUGAUCGCAUGUGAUUGUGGGAAAGAUUUCAUCGGCGUGGGAUGGGGUCGCGUCCUAUCAGCUUGUUGGUGAGGUAACGGCUCACCAAGGCUUCGACGGGUAGCCGGCCUGAGAGGGCGACCGGCCACAUUGGGACUGAGAUACGGCCCAGACUCCUACGGGAGGCAGCAGUGGGGAAUAUUGCACAAUGGGCGCAAGCCUGAUGCAGCGACGCCGCGUGAGGGAUGGAGGCCUUCGGGUUGUAAACCUCUUUUGUUUGGGAGCAAGCCUUCGGGUGAGUGUACCUUUCGAAUAAGCGCCGGCUAACUACGUGCCAGCAGCCGCGGUAAUACGUAGGGCGCAAGCGUUAUCCGGAUUUAUUGGGCGUAAAGGGCUCGUAGGCGGCUCGUCGCGUCCGGUGUGAAAGUCCAUCGCUUAACGGUGGAUCUGCGCCGGGUACGGGCGGGCUGGAGUGCGGUAGGGGAGACUGGAAUUCCCGGUGUAACGGUGGAAUGUGUAGAUAUCGGGAAGAACACC
rnacentral:rRNA from 1 species